rnacentral:rRNA from 1 species
GCCCAUUGAGUAUUUAAAUGGCCGCAGUACUCUAACUGUGCUAAGGUAGCAUAAUCAUUUGUUUCUUAAUUAGAGACUUGUAUGAACGGUCUAACGAAGAAAAAGCUUUUUUUAGUUUACAAAAUGAAAUUAACUUUUUAGUUAAAAGGCUAAAAUUAUUCAAAAAGACGAGAAGACCCUAAAGAGUUUAAUAUUUUAAGCUAUGAAAAUUAAUAAUUCUUCUUUUUAUUAGCCUAUAAUAUUUGAUUGGGGUGAUCAAAAAAUACAUAAAACUUUUUUAAAAAAAACCUUUUUUAAGAACUAAUGAUCCUAUACUAAUGAUUAUAAGAAAAAAUUACCUUAGGGAUAACAGCGUUAUACUUAUUGAGAGUUCUCAUUGACAUAAGUGUUUGCGACCUCGAUGUUGGACUAAAAAUACACCAUAAUGCAGCAGUUAUGGUGGUAGGUCUGUUCGA